UUCACUUGGCAGCAGAAGGUGUGACUUCGUAGCACGACAGUUCUUUUUUGCUGUCUCCUUGCCAGCGUUCCAUAGCUCUGCAGGUUACAGUUAAUAUUGGGAUGGUUACCCUGAGCAAGUCCCUGUGUCACUUUGACAGUGGCCUAGGAGAUGCCUGGAAGAUGAGGCUCACUGGCAGUUUCAGAGUAACAAGAGGAUAAAUGGUGCUGAUCUUUCUGCACACAAUGACGCCUUUAAGAAAGAAAGUUACAGUCAAAACUACCUGCAUCCAGGUAAGGAUCCCAUGUAAAUUCUGUUUAUAAAACCCUGAUAGACUGAAUGCUAUGUGGAACACUGGUGUUAGGGUGAGUCCUGUAGUUGCACACUUCAUUUCUAUGCUCUGUCUGAGAAUUCCUAACAUACAUUUCCUCCUAGCCCAGAGGAGCACACAGAAGGAUUGUCACACUCUUUUACAGGUGGGAAUUUAGGUCGUUGCCUGAAGAUACUUUGGAAGUCUGAAGAUUCAAGAGAUUUCCCUAUCCCAUCCCAUGCUCUACAUUACAGAGCCAGCUUUCUUCCUUCAUUUUUUGUAGCUAUCCAAAAUCAUCCACAAAAAUAAUUUACUUGAUUUCUCAGUGAAAUAGAAUUCAUAGAUAUACAGAAAAGGACAUUUAAGUCUUUCUACAGUUACACCUAAUUACUCAGGUGUAUGCAUUGCAGAAGUGCUCAGCUUUAAUUGUCUUACUUCUUGUUGUUUGAUUAAUUUGCAUUGUUGUAGCAUUGACGUUUUCAUUGUUCUACUUAAAAUAAUUGAACAACGAAACCUUAAAAUUCUUUGCAUGUGGUGCUUGUAAAUUUACACCUAAAACCCCCUGAAUACAAUGUUCCCCUGAAUACAAUGUUCCCAAGCCACCUAAAGAGGAGCAACCCACACAUGCCAUGCAAUCAUUCCAUUGCAGUGUUCAUCACAAUAAAAUAUUGGGGUUUUCCAUUGAGCUGUGUGUUCUGAGCAAGAUGCAGGAGAGCCUGGGGCUGUAUGUGAUCAAAAGCUUCACACAAUCUGACUGGGUCAAUGAGUUUUUCCAGGCAAUUUAGACAAUUUUCUAUGUGUAGACAAAAUACCCGGAUUUCUCCUUUGUGUUUAUCAAGGUAAGCUUCACAAAGUAUUUCAGAAAUCCCCCUCUUCCUUCCUCUCCUUCCUUCCUCCCCUCCUUCCAUUAAUUUAGGACUGAUGAACACUUUCAUACACCUUUCUUAAGGUCAGCAUGGUCACAACCACUUCUCUUGUGUUUAAACAGAAAAGCCUUAGCUGAAUCCCACCUAGUCUUGGCUACCCACAACUCCUCUCAGAGUGGGAGUGCAGGAUACUCAGGAUGGUUGCCAGCCCUGCCUGCAAACAGCACAGCAAAAGUUUUUCCAGUUGAUGAAGGCAAGGUGCUACAGUUAAGCCUCACAGCACAACAGACACUGCUGAAAUGAAUUUCACUUCUCAAACUCUUCUAGAAGUUCACCAUCCAUCACAGCUCCUCAUUAAUCCCCCUUUACACUCCUGAAGUGUAGCUCGCAUUUAGAACUUUCUAAUGUUACACUUUCCAUGUUCCUGUGUUUCAGUAGUUUUUUGGGGUUUUUAAAGUAUGUAAACCUGGCCAGAAUUUUUUUGAAGUACUUGGCCUUUUGGCCCAGGACUAUUAAAUGUAGUGAGGUUGGAAGCAGAGUUCAGAAGGCACACCUUCUGAAGAGUUUGCAGGCCUGAUUUGUGCCCUACCUGCAGUGAAGCAGUGCUAUGUGCAGAGGUGCUGUGGAACACGAGGCUACACCAUACCACAUCUUCCCAUCUUACUUGAAUAGGAGCUCUUUUAGUUUUGAUAUUUAGGUUGCAAAGUUUCUGAGCUUGAGUUCCAUUCAGACUGUGCUGUGAUGCUACUGGAUUUAGUAACAUCAGUGCAAUUAAAGAGAAACUAAUUGGGCUUCAUUUGUUGGUACUGGAGAAAUCUGCUUAACCUUAGAGUCAGUGCCUGUAUGGUUCAAAAGGGGAAACAGGUAAAUUCUGUAUGGUAUCCAUGAAAACUGAAAGUGGAUUGCUGGAGGCUAAACUUCUGCUCCUAAUUUUGUCAUGAUUAUA